GGGGCUGUAACUCAGUGGUAGAGUGCCUCGUUUGCAUGUUCAUAGAUUCCUAUAGAAUUUCUUGACAAUAAUCGAUGAAGUCCAGGGUUCGACUCCCUGCCGCUCCA
rfam:Sclerotinia sclerotiorum 1980 scaffold_12 genomic scaffold, whole genome shotgun sequence.